rnacentral:lncRNA from 1 species
GACCAAGGGCCACGGCCACAAGCCGGAGAAGCCGCCCAAGGAGCACAAGCCGACUCCGCCCACCUACACCCCGAGCCCCAAGCCCACGCCGCCGCCGGCUACUCCCAAGCCGACGCCGCCCACCUACACGCCGAGCCCUAAGCCCAAGUCGCCGGUCUACCCUCCCCCGCCGAAAGCCAGUACUCCUCCGACCUACACCCCGAGCCCCAAGCCUCCGGCGACCAAGCCGCCUACCUACCCGACCCCCAAGCCACCAGCUACCAAGCCUCCGACACCUCCUGUGUACACUCCGAGCCCCAAACCACCGGUUACAAAGCCUCCUACACCCAAGCCGACCCCGCCGGUGUACACGCCGAACCCCAAGCCACCGGUUACCAAGCCUCCGACACACACGCCGAGCCCCAAGCCUCCGACAUCCAAGCCGACUCCGCCGGUGUACACACCGAGCCCCAAGCCACCGAAGCCGUCCCCGCCGACGUACACGCCGACCCCGAAGCCACCGGCUACCAAGCCGCCCACCUCAACUCCGACGCACCCUAAGCCGACGCCGCACACGCCUAUCCCCAAGCCCACGCCGCCAACCUACAAGCCGGCACCGAAGCCGACGCCGCCGGCGCCCACCCCGCCGACAUACACGCCGCCGGUGUCGCACAC